GACGAACGCUGGCGGCGUGCUUAACACAUGCAAGUCGAACGAUGAAGCCUUUCGGGGUGGAUUAGUGGCGAACGGGUGAGUAACACGUGGGCAAUCUGCCCUGUACUCUGGGAUAAGCCUUGGAAACGGGGUCUAAUACCGGAUAUCACUUACCUCCGCAUGGGGUUGUUGAAAGUCUGGCGGUACAGAUGAGCCCGCCGGCCUAUCAGCUUGUUGGUGGGGUAGUGGCCUACCAAGGCGACGACGGGUAGCCGGCCUGAGAGGGUGACCGGCCACACUGGGACUGAGACACGGCCC
rnacentral:rRNA from 1 species